AUGGAAAAGUUAGCCUUCAACCCCUUAUACAUUCCCGAUACAACUGUCGCACGAUCAACAUCGUCAAAUAACACCAAAAGGAACAACCUUGCCACCAAUGCUCAUCAUCUCGCCUUGAUCAACUCAAACAUCAAGAAAAGGUUGAGCUUUGCAAUUCAAUCUCAAAAUUCAGAUCUUGAGCCUUCACAAGCAUUUCAAAGUCUAAGCUGGUGUUGA